rnacentral:rRNA from 1 species
UCCUACGGGGCGCAGCAGUGAGGAAUAUUGGUCAAUGGUCGGGAGACUGAACCAGCCAAGCCGCGUGAGGGAUGAAGGUACAGAGUAUCGUAAACCUCUUUUGUCAGGGAACAAAGGCGGGGACGCGUCCCCGGAUGAGUGUACCUGAAGAAAAAGCAUCGGCUAACUCCGUGCCAGCAGCCGCGGUAAUACGGGGGAUGCGAGCGUUAUCCGGAUUUAUUGGGUUUAAAGGGUGCGCAGGCGGUCUGUUAAGUCAGCGGUCAAAGCCCGGGGCUCAACCCCGGCCCGCCGUUGAAACUGGCAGU